rnacentral:ncRNA from 2 species
UACGGAGGGUCCGAGCGUUAAUCGGAAUUACUGGGCGUAAAGCGCGCGUAGGCGGUUUGUUAAGUCAGUUGUGAAAGCCCCGGGCUCAACCUGGGAAUUGCAAUUGAUACUGGCAGGCUAGAGUACAGUAGAGGGUGGUGGAAUUUCUUGUGUAGCGGUGAAAUGCGUAGAUAUAAGAAGGAACAUCAGUGGCGAAGGCGGCCACCUGGACUGAUACUGACGCUGAGGUGCGAAAGCGUGGGGAGCGAACAGG